rnacentral:rRNA from 1 species
UCGGGAAUUUUGGGCAAUGGGCGAAAGCCUGACCCAGCAACGCCGCGUGAAGGAUGAAGUAUUUCGGUAUGUAAACUUCGAAAGAAUAGGAAGAAUAAAUGACGGUACUAUUUAUAAGGUCCGGCUAACUACGUGCCAGCAGCCGCGGUAAUACGAAGGGAGCUAGCGUUGUUCGGAAUCACUGGGCGUAAAGCGCACGUAGGUGGGCAGUUAAGUCAGGGGUGAAAGCCCGAGGCUCAACCUCGGAAUUGCCUCUGAUACUGGCUGUCUAGAGUUCGAGAGAGGUGAGUGGAAUUCCUAGUGUAGAGGUGAAAUUCGUAGAUAUUAGGAAGAACACCGGUGGCGAAGGCGGCUCACUGGCUCGAUACUGACACUGAGGUGCGAAAGCGUGGGGAGCAAACAGGAUUAGAUACCCUCGUAGUCCCUGAGCGGGCUGGCAAGGCGCAU